rnacentral:misc_RNA from 1 species
CUUCUGAUUGACUUGCAAGUAAAUGCAUUUGAAAGAACAAUUCUGCAGGUCUCAUUUCUGGUGGCCAAGAAUACCAUUCAAGCCGGAGGUUCUCCUCCCAUCUCUGCUUAGAGCCAAGGCUCCCUUCUGCUUGUGCCCUCAAUAACGAUAUAAUAGGCAACGGAAUAACAGAAUUUACAGAAGCUUUGGUGAGACUCCUAAUAGCAAAUGAUAAGAGUUGGGAACUACUAAACUUUCUGGCAAGCUCCAUACAGAUAGCACCAUGACAGAGAAAAAGACAGCUGUCAGCACUCGCCAGCAAACACG